CGGAGAGGUGCCAGAGCGGCUGAAUGGGCCGGUCUCGAAAACCGGUGUACCUUCGGGUACCGCGGGUUCGAAUCCCGCCCUCUCCGU
rnacentral:tRNA from 1 species